UCACACACAAAUAAUUCGUUUAAUUUUAUUCCAUAAAAACUGAAUUUCAUUUUAAUGUAUUGAUUCUUUUUUACAGAGAGAGAUAUUUCAUUACAACGAGCAGGAAGAGUCAAAGCGAUAGAGAAUAGUUCUUAUCAGGGAAUAAAUAUCGCCUGCAUCCUGCCUUCUGGAACUUCCUUCCUUACUAAAAUGUGGAAAAAAAAAACCCGUCUACUAUUUCCGUGAAAAAGUGGAAACACACCCGGGAAUGAUGUUUAAAGCCGGCUGAUAUUGAGUGGGGGGUAAUCAUAGUAAGGGUGGGGGUUAGGGUAGAAGCAUGAAUGAACCACGCAUGAUGAGGAGGGGGUGGUGUAUAGAAGGCUAGCUGAGAGUCUCUCUUGAAUGUCGGGGUCGCCAAGUAUUGAUCCGUCGCAGGCAGGAAACUGGUACCUGUGAUCGGUGGUGGUUCGACGAGGGCGGAGGGGCCGAAAAAGGAGGGCAAAUCGCUGCUGGUGGUAACCGGUGUAUUGAGAUCACCAGCCUUGUCUUUCUCGUUUUGAUCCUGCAAACUAUCAUGGCA